rnacentral:snoRNA from 1 species
UGCGAGGGUGAUGAGUUGCACUGUGGUAGAGCAAUCCAUGUCAGGUGAUGUGGACUCUGCCCAGAAUCUCCCUGAUGACAAAACUAAGUGCACAGGGGCCAUCUGACUCGCU